GACUGCAUUCUCAGCUAAUACAGGUACCAUUCGUUAGUUAUUUCAUUUAUAAUUUUUUACUUACUGUCUCCACAUUGGAGUUGGAAGGAGCACCAAGUGGAUCUUUUUAACCAAAAUAGUGAACAUGGUUUUUUUUUUCUUUUUUUGGUUUUUACUUAACAUUCCACAAGCGGAGAGCUAGAUUAUAUUACUCAAAAAAUGUUUCUUGGACCAUUUCCUUUUACUACCUAAGUUAUCCCUUUCAUUUGGUAUAAUACCUAUCUACCCAUGAACUUUAGUGUGAAGCAUGUGAUGUAUUGCAUUUUUAUUGUAAUUUUUUUCAUUAGUUUUAAUUUUUUUUGGUUUUUUUUAUUGAUUUUUAUUUGUGUUUCUUAGUUCAAUUAAUAGAAAAUUUCUUUUCUUUUCUUUUAAUUUAAUUUGAGUGUUUUUGUGUCAACUUGGAGGUUUAGGCAUUGAAUUGUUGGAAAUUUUGAAGAAUGGAUUAUUACAGCACUUAUUUGUGGCAUUUUAAGCAGUAAAUCUCACAUUUAGGGCGUGAAAGUGCAGGAAAUUCACACCUAGGCCGUG
rnacentral:misc_RNA from 1 species